rnacentral:rRNA from 1 species
GACGAACGCUGGCGGCGUGCUUAACACAUGCAAGUCGAGCGGUAAGGCCUCUUCGGGGGUACACGAGCGGCGAACGGGUGAGUAACACGUGGGUGACCUGCCCUCAGCUCUGGGAUAAGCCUGGGAAACUGGGUCUAAUACCGGAUAUGACCUUUCUUCCCAUGGGGUUUGGUGGAAAGUUUUUUCGGCUGGGGAUGGGGCCGCGGCCCAUCAGCUUGUUGGUGGGGUGAUGGCCUACCAAGGCGACGACGGGUAGCCGGCCUGAGAGGGCGACCGGCCACACUGGGACUGAGACACGGCCCAGACUCCUACGGGAGGCAGCAGUGGGGAAAAUUGCGCAAUGGGCGGAAGCCUGACGCAGCGACGCCGCGUGGGGGAUGACGGGCUUCGGGUUGUAAACCUCUUUCGACCCCGACGAAUUUGGACGGUAGGGGUAGAAGAAGCACCGGCCAACUACGUG